rnacentral:rRNA from 1 species
CGUGUAGGCGGUCUGAUAAGUUCGGCGUGAAAUUCCCCGGCUUAACCGGGGGAUGUCGUCGGAGACUGUCGGACUAGAGGGUGAUAGAGGCGUGUGGAAUUCCGGGUGUAGUGGUGAAAUGCGUAGAGAUCCGGAGGAACACCAGUGGCGAAGGCGACACGCUGGGUCACACCUGACGCUAAAACGCGACAGCAUGGGGAGCAAACG